GGGCAUAAUUUAAUGGUAAAAUACUAGCUUCCCAAGCUGGCUUUGCGGGUUCGAUUCCCGUUGCCC
rnacentral:tRNA from 1 species